GUGCCAGCAGCCGCGGUAAUACGUAGGGUGCAAGCGUUGUCCGGAAUUACUGGGCGUAAAGCGCGCGUAGGCGGUUUUUUAAGUCUGAUGUGAAAGCCCACGGCUCAACCGUGGAGGGUCAUUGGAAACUGGAAAACUUGAGUGCAGAAGAGGAAAGUGGAAUUCCAUGUGUAGCGGUGAAAUGCGCAGAGAUAUGGAGGAACGCCAGUGGCGAAGGCGACUUUCUGGUCUGUAACUGACGCUGAUGUGCGAAAGCGUGGGGAUCAAACAGGAUU
rnacentral:rRNA from 1 species